ACCUGUUUUAUAUAAUUUGUAUCUCUGCUUUAUAACUACAUUUGAUAUUUGGGGUUAUAUUGCAUGCAGGCAAGCAACCCUGACAAGGUACGAAGUGAAUAUAAAUCAUUCUCAGGGUAAAGUGCUGCCUAGUGUAAGAGUUUCAGAUCCAGGUCUUCUACUUAAACCUGACGAACCAAAUUUGAUUAUAAUGGCAAAACCAGCAGGUGACCCUAGUGAGAGAGAUCAGCAUGCAGGGAUGGAUGAGGACUAAUUUUGUGUGUAUGACAAUUGACUAUCUUUGCUUGUAUUGCUCUAUGUUAGGGAUCUUUUGUUCCAUUUUAGUAACAAUUUUGUUUAGGAGAAAAAGAAACAUAUUGCAGUUCAUGCUUUGUAAAUGCCACUCUUCUGUUAUGAUGGACACGUGGUAUGCCCUUGUUGGGUAGGUUUUGGAUUGAAACCAUGGUCGAGUGCUUGAGCCAUGUUUAGUGUGAA